rnacentral:rRNA from 1 species
UUAUGGCUCAGGGUGAACGCUGGCGGCGUGCUUAACACAUGCAAGUUGUGCGGUGAUCUCAAGAAGUUUUCGGACGGAAAGGGAGAGCAGCAGCGGACGGGUGAGUAAAGCACAAGGACUUGUCCCGAAGAGGGGGACAACUGUGGGAAACCACAGCUAAUACCCCAUAAGCCGAGAGGUGAAAGCAGUAAUGCGCUUUGGGAGAGACUUGUGUCCUAUCAGGUAGUUGGUGAGGUAACGGCUCACCAAGCCGAAGACGGGUAGCCGGACUGAGAGGUUGUACGGCCACAUUGGAACUGAGAGACGGUCCAGACUCCUACGGGAGGCAGCAGUGGGGAAUAUUGGGCAAUGGGGGCAAACCCCCUGACCCAGCGACGCCGCGUGAGGGAAGACAGCCUUCGGGUUGUAGACCUCUGUUGCAGGGGAAGAAGAAAGUGACGGUACCCUGCGAGGAAGCUCCGGCAAACUACGUGCCAGCCGCCGC